AAAAAGGUAGUGACAAAGAGGAGUAGAUAUUGUACCCCGCAAAGAGAGGGAACUUCGUGGCUGUGAGAGAUCCCCGGCAGACAAUAUCGAAGGUAGCUUUGGAACCGGAAGACUGAACGUUUUUGAUUGUAACUGUGAAGAUGCUGAACAGUUACCGUUUUCAGACAGAAAAUCAGUAAGCUUUCACGGCUGAUCCCCGUUAUCGGAUAAUGAGAUGUAUGGAACGCUUGUUGUUUCAUAUAAGCAAGGUGGUAACGCGAGACAUUCGCCCUUCAC
rnacentral:ncRNA from 1 species